CCUACGGGUGGCUGCAGUGGGGAAUAUUGGACAAUGGGGGGAACCCUGAUCCAGCCAUGCCGCGUGUGUGAAGAAGGCCCUCGGGUUGUAAAGCACUUUCAGUGAGGAAGAACGCCUGGUGGUUAAUACCCAUCAGGAAGGACAUCACUCACAGAAGAAGCACCGGCUAACUCCGUGCCAGCAGCCGCGGUAAUACGGAGGGUGCGAGCGUUAAUCGGAAUUACUGGGCGUAAAGCGCGCGUAGGUGGCUUGAUAAGCCGGUUGUGAAAGCCCCGGGCUCAACCUGGGAACGGCAUCCGGAACUGUCAAGCUAGAGUGCAGGAGAGGAAGGUAGAAUUCCCGGUGUAGCGGUGAAAUGCGUAGAGAUCGGGAGGAAUACCAGUGGCGAAGGCGGCCUUCUGGACUGACACUGACACUGAGGUGCGAAAGCGUGGGUAGCAAACAGGAUUAGAUACCCCUGUAGUC
rnacentral:rRNA from 1 species